GUGAGGAAUAUUGGUCAAUGGGCGAGAGCCUGAACCAGCCAAGUAGCGUGCAGGAUGACGGCCCUAUGGGUUGUAAACUGCUUUUACACGGGGAUAAAGUGUGCGACGUGUCGUUCAUUGCAGGUACCGUGCGAAUAAGGACCGGCUAAUUCCGUGUCAGCAGCCGCGGUAAUACGGAAGGUCCGGGCGUUAUCCGGAUUUAUUGGGUUUAAAGGGAGCGUAGGCCGUCUGUUAAGCGUGUUGUGAAAUGUAGAUGCUCAACAUCUGAAUUGCAGCGCGAACUGGCAGACUUGAGUGUGCGCAACGUAGGCGGAAUUCGUGGUGUAGCGGUGAAAUGCUUAGAUAUCACGAAGAACUCCGAUUGCGAAGGCAGCUUACGGGAGCACAACUGACGCUGAAGCUCGAAAGUGCGGGUAUCGAACAGGAUUAGAUACCCCUGUAGUCC
rnacentral:rRNA from 1 species